UACGUAGGGGGCGAGCGUUGUCCGGAGUUACUGGGCGUAAAGCGCUUGUAGGCGGUCCACCAAGUUUGGGGUGACAGUUGCCGACUUAAUCGGCAAAGUGCCUCAAAGACUGGCGGACUUGAGGGCCACAGAGGGACACGGAGUUCCGGGUGGAGUGGUGAAAUGCGUAGAGAUCCGGAGGAACACCAAAGGCGAAGGCAGUGUCCUGGGGAGUACCUGACGCUCAGGUGCGAAAGCCAGGGGAGCGAACGGG
rnacentral:rRNA from 1 species